GACGAACGCUGGCGGCGUGCCUAAUACAUGCAAGUUGAGCGAUGAAGAUUGGUGCUUGCACCAAUUUGAAGAGCAGCGAACGGGUGAGUAACGCGUGGGGAAUCUGCCUUUGAGCGGGGGACAACAUUUGGAAACGAAUGCUAAUACCGCAUAACAACUUUAAACAUAAGUUUUAAGUUUGAAAGAUGCAAUUGCAUCACUCAAUGAUGAUCCCGCCUUGUAUUAGCUAGUUGGUUAGGUAAAGGCUCACCAAGGCGAUGGUACAUAGGCGAACUUGAGGGGGGGACGGGCAAAAUGGGACUGGGAAAAGGGCCAAACUGCCAAAGGGAGGCACAAGAAGGAAAUCUCGGGAAUGGAGGAAAGUCUGGACGGACAAAGCCGGGGGAGGGGAGAAGGUUUUCGGAUUGUAAAAAUCUGUUGGUAGGGGAGAACGAUGGGGGGAAGGGAAAGCGCAUCAAGUGACGGUAACUACUCAGAAAGCGACGGCUAACUACGUG
rnacentral:rRNA from 1 species